AUACGAAGGCAGGGGCUUGUGUCACUGUAGUCCAGACACCAUAAAUGCCAACGUGAGGAUUAAAGACCAGCUGCAAGGGGAUUUCAAAAGCUCCAUCGAAUCCCAACACUUUUCUCAAGACACAAUUUAUCUUUGUCUGUGAAAGGAGGGCUAAUUUAGACAACGAUUAGAACCCAAAAGUAACUGUGCACAUGAGCUGGGUUGUCUCCCUUGGAGAAGAAUCUGGGAAGAUUCUGGAUGGUUCUGGAUGCAGGGGGUUCACUCUGGAAUAGUAACCACCAACACCACCCUCUCCACGUCUCCUGCCUGAAACUAGCAGAAAGAGUCCCUGCCCACGGCUCGAAUGUGGAUUGUCACCAGGAACGGUGGCUUCUCCAGAAUGGCCCAUGCUCCAGCGUCCAUGUCCCACCUGGGGAAGCAGCCUUCGAUGCUCAAGAAGGCACCAUGGUGGGACCUGGGGCCACAUCCACCAUGCAAAGUGUCCCUGGGAUCUGGGGCACGAGGAAUCCUCACUGGAUCUCACAGGCUGUCCUUCCCCAACUUCCUUUUUUUUUAUUCCUCCAUCAGAGCAAGUCAACUGUCUCCACACUUGCUCUAAAAACAUGUUUAACAUGCACUGACAGCCCACUCUGACACGGGCAUUGUUAUUCCAUUUUACAGAUGAAGAAACUGAGCCUGGGAAGUUAUCGAGAGCCAUGACCAUCUCGGAAGAGACCAGCUCAUCUCAGAAGUGAUCUCGCUGGGAAAGGCCGUUAUUUUCCACCAAGCCACGGGGCCCACUUUGCAUCCACAAGGAGAAGCUUGCGCAGUUGGGCUCCCCUCCUGCCUUGUGUUGUCUGGACCCUGGGGCCAGUCUUAUUUUGCAUGAACAGAGUUGUCCUGGUCCCAGCGAUCCUUUGCUGGUGUGGAGACUGGAAGUCAGAGCCCAAGGUCCACCAGGCACGGGAGCUCGUGGAGACGGUUGUGCUCAGGGCAUGGGGUCUGGGGAUGGCGCAGCUUUUUCUACAGAAAAGUGCAUUCUGUCUUCUGCAUAGUCUACGGUAACCAACCUUAGUUUUGUCUUGCUUUGUUUUUUUCUCUUCAGCCUCCGGAAGAGUGUCUGUUCAACAUAAAGAAUAAAGCAUGAAAUACGUUGAACUCUUAGACUAACUCCCGAGGCUGCAGACCAGCAGGAGAGAAGUGAGGGCAGCUACCUGGUGUCUUGGGGCUGAGAAGAGGUCCACUGGGGAGCCUUGGACAAACCAGAACCACAGCAGCUCGGGGCCCGUCUUCCUUCUCCAGACGCAGCUCUCCCAUUGCCCGACAGCGUUCGACUUUGGCCAUUCCUUCCAGGGGCCAGCACAGCACUGACCACCGCAGGCCCUCAGGGGAUGUGACUGGAAUCAAAGGAUUGCCUGCCUAAUCCAUUUCCUUUGUUUAUCACUCUGGAAUUUCACCCACAAGUUGAAAAUGAAACUGACUGUAGUUCAGUUGAAAGAUGUCCUCUUGAGAUGGGGAAGUGGCAUCCUGGAACGCUGGUAACACGGGUCCACGAUGGAGUUUUUUGUUUACUCUUUAGGAAGCUGGACUCCAUCACUGGGGCGCCCACUUGUCCAAGAGAGUGAGUUUGUCUUUAAGAAACAAAAUCCUGGGCUUCCCUGGUGGCACAGUGGUUGA